AUGUCCAGAACGGAUCUGGGUGUUGCGGAGUGCGCGGCCCGCCGCCGUCCCGCUCUUUCGUCAUCUCCUAACUACCCUCAUCGUCGUCCUUGCACGCACCAUCCCUCGGCCCGCCCAGCAAGCACCCUUGGCGCCGUGCACACAUCCGCCGCUGACCAGGCGCCGUGCGCGGGAUAGGCCUGGCUACGCACAUCGCCACCAGCCGCUGCUCACGAACAGCCACGCGUGUGCCGCGGGACGGCGGCGCGUAGCCCCACACUGCUGUUUUCGAGAUCUGCACUGCCUCCCUCGAGCAUCGCAUCGCUGCCGGAUCCCCGCGCGAGACCCGCCGGCUGCUUCACCACCGCCCACCGCCACUUCAUCGAUGCGGCCGGCCGGCGCCCUGUGAGGGACGAAGCCGACGCGGCGGCCACCAGGCAACCGCCGAUCAGCAGCACAACGGCUGCAGCAGUGCUUGUUUGCCAGCAGCUGGGCACUACGUUGGGAACGUAGAUCCAUGGGGGGAAGGCAGAUGGAUUUCGGAGAAGAUGGUUUUGAUGGUCAAUUGACAUGUUGUGAUGCAGCCGUCGUGCUCCAGGGAACACCCCUCCGCUGAUCAAAUGCAUAGAUGCAUGACGCUAUCUUUAUUAGCGCAAACACAAAGGUUUGGAAAUACAAUUUCAGUUGCCUUCAUUCAAAUGCUCAAGGCUUUGGGUCAGCUAUUGCACACCUCCUUUCUAAUAUUGUACUGAUUGAGUUAAUUUAAAUUGCAUGUGCAUGUGGGAACAUUUAUAAUGGUUGUUCAAUGUGGUACUGACAAAUUAGACGAGACCUUUUCUCAAAGACAGUGCGGGUUAGUGUUGGUGUUGUAUUUUCAUCACAUGGCACGAUUCAUUUUAAUGUAAUAUGCACGUUAUACCGAGUAACCAGUAUUGUCGUGGAA